rnacentral:rRNA from 1 species
GGGUCAGUAGGUUGGUCGUGCCACCGGUACGUACUGGUCUCACUGAUUCCUCCUUCCUGAAGAACCGUUAUGCCAUUAAUUUGGUGUUGCGGGGAAACAGGACUGUUACUUUGAAAAAAUUAGAGUGUUUAGAGCAAGCUAACGCUUGAAUACAUUAGCAUGGAAUAAUGAAAUAGGACGAUCGAUCCUAUUUUGUUGGUUUCUAGGAUUGACGUA